AUUGAACGCUGGCGGCAUGCCUUACACAUGCAAGUCGAACGGUAACAGGUCUUCGGAUGCUGACGAGUGGCGAACGGGUGAGUAAUAUAUCGGAACGUGCCCAGUCGUGGGGGAUAACGCAGCGAAAGCUGUGCUAAUACCGCAUACGAUCUAUGGAUGAAAGCGGGGGAUCGCAAGACCUCGCGCGAUUGGAGCGGCCGAUAUCAGAUUAGGUAGUUGGUGGGGUAAAGGCCCACCAAGCCAACGAUCUGUAACUGGUCUGAGAGGACGACCAGCCACACUGGAACUGAGACACGGUCCAGACUCCUACGGGAGGCAGCAUUGGGGAAUUUUGGACAAUGGGCGCAAGCCUGAUCCAGCAAUGCCGCGUGCAGGAUGAAGGCCUUCGGGUUGUAAACUGCUUUUGUACGGAACGAAAAGGCUCUGGUUAAUACCUGGGGCUCAUGACGGUACCGUAAGAAUAAGCACCGGCUAACUACGUGCCAGCAGCCGCGGUAAAAC
rnacentral:rRNA from 1 species